GACGAACGCUGGCGGCGUGCCUAAUACAUGCAAGUUGAGCGAUGAAGAUUGGUGCUUGCCCCCAUUUGCAGAGCAGCGAACGGGUGAGUAACGCGUGGGGAAUCUGCCUUUGAGCGGGGGACAACAUUUGGAAACGAAUGCUGAUACCGCAUAACAACUUUAAACAUAAGUUUUAAGUUUGAAAGAUGCAAUUGCAUCACUCAAAGAUGAUCCCGCGUUGUAUUAGCUAGUUGGUGAGGUAAAGGCUCACCAAGGCGAUGAUACAUAGCCGACCUGAGAGGGUGAUCGGCCACAUUGAGAAUGAGACACGGCCCAAACUCCUACGGGAGGCAGCAGUAGGGAAUCUUCGGCAAUGGACGAAAGUCUGACCGAGCAACGCCGCGUGAGUGCAGAAGGGUGUCGGAUCGUAAAACUCUGUUGAUAGAGAAGAACGUUGGUGAGAGUGGAAAGCUCAUCAAGUGACGGUAACUACCCAGAAAGGGACGGCUAACUACGUG
rnacentral:rRNA from 1 species